rnacentral:rRNA from 1 species
GAGUUUGAUCGUGGCUCAGAUUGAACGCUGGCGGCAUGCCUUACACAUGCAAGUCGAACGGCAGCACGGGAGCUUGCUCCUGGUGGCGAGUGGCGAACGGGUGAGUAAUGCAUCGGAACGUAUCCUGGAGUGGGGGAUAACGUAGCGAAAGUUACGCUAAUACCGCAUGUUCUGUGAGCAGGAAAGCGGGGGACCUUCGGGCCUCGCGCUCUUGGAGCGGCCGAUGUCGGAUUAGCUAGUUGGUGAGGUAAAGGCUCACCAAGGCGACGAUCCGUAGCAGGUCUGAGAGGAUGAUCUGCCACACUGGAACUGAGACACGGUCCAGACUCCUACGGGAGGCAGCAGUGGGAAUUUUGGACAAUGGGGGCAACCCUGAUCCAGCCAUGCCGCGUGAGUGAAGAAGGCCUCGGUUGUAAG